rnacentral:rRNA from 1 species
AGAGUUUGAUCAUGGCUCAGGAUGAACGCUGGCGGCGUGCUUAACACAUGCAAGUCGAACGAGCACGAUAUUCAACACUGAGUAUUUAGUAAAAUGGCAAAACAGCCAGGUCCAAGGACGACGAAGGAGUCCUUUACGCGAAUACAAAGUGUGCUAACACAAACAACUAAGUAUUGAGUGUUGAAUAUCGUGCUAGUGGCGGACGGGUGAGUAACGCGUGGGAAACCUGCCCUAUACAGGGGGAUAGCCUCGGGAAACCGGGAUUAAUACCCCAUAAAGCUCUAAAGUCGCAUGACUUAAGAGCCAAAGAUUUAUCGGUAUAGGAUGGUCCCGCGUCUGAUUAGCUAGUUGGUGAGGUAAUGGCUCACCAAGGCGACGAUCAGUAGCCGGCCUGAGAGGGUGAACGGCCACACUGGAACUGAGACACGGUCCAGACUCCUACGGGAGGCAGCAGUGGGGAAUAUUGCACAAUGGGGGAAACCCUGAUGCAGCGACGCCGCGUGAGCGAUGAAGGCCUUCGGGUCGUAAAGCUCUGUCCUAAGGGAAGAUAAUGACGGUACCUUAGGAGGAAGCCCCGGCUAACUACGUGCCAGCAGCCGCGGUAAUACGUAGGGGGCGAGCGUUAUCCGGAAUUAUUGGGCGUAAAGGGUGCGUAGGCGGCUCUUUAAGUCAGAUGUGAAAGGCCGCGGCUUAACCGAGGUUAGCAUUUGAAACUAGAGAGCUUGAGUACAGGAGAGGAAAGUGGAAUUCCUAGUGUAGCGGUGAAAUGCGUAGAUAUUAGGAGGAACACCAGUGGCGAAGGCGACUUUCUGGACUGUAACUGACGCUGAGGCACGAAAGCGUGGGGAGCGAACAGGAUUAGAUACCCUGGUAGUCCACGCCGUAAACGAUGAGUGCUAGGUGUUGGAGGAGACAUCCCUCAGUGCCGCAGCUAACGCAUUAAGCACUCCGCCUGGGGAGUACGUUCGCAAGAAUGAAACUCAAAGGAAUUGACGGGGACCCGCACAAGCAGCGGAGCAUGUGGUUUAAUUCGACGCAACGCGAAGAACCUUACCAGGGCUUGACAUCCCUUUGACAGAUUUAGAGAUAGAUCCUUCUCUUCGGAGACAGAGGAGACAGGUGGUGCAUGGUUGUCGUCAGCUCGUGUCGUGAGAUGUUGGGUUAAGUCCCGCAACGAGCGCAACCCUUGCCUUUAGUUGAUAACAGGUUAAGCUGAUAACUCUAGAGGGACUGCCGGUGACAAACCGGAGGAAGGUGGGGAUGACGUCAAAUCAUCAUGCCCCUUAUGUCCUGGGCUACACACGUGCUACAAUGGUCGGUACAACGGGAAGCGAAGCUGCGAAGCGGAGCGAAUCCCAACAAGCCGAUCCCAGUUCGGAUUGUAGGCUGCAACUCGCCUACAUGAAGUCGGAGUUGCUAGUAAUCGCGAAUCAGAACGUCGCGGUGAAUGCGUUCCCGGGUCUUGUACACACCGCCCGUCACACCAUGAGAGUUGGUAACACCCGAAGCCAGUGAGCUAACCGUAAGGAGGCAGCUGUCGAAGGUGGGAUCGAUGAUUAGGGUGAAGUCGUAACAAGGUAGCCGUA